AAACUUUAUAUUUUUAAAUUUGUUGCAGCUGUUUAAGAUUAGUGAGGAAGUAGUGGUGGAUGCUACAGAAAAAGGGAAUAUCGCUCGACUAAUAAAUCAUUCGUGUAUGCCAAAUUGCUAUGCAAGGAUUAUGAGUGUAGGAGAUGACGAAAGUAGGAUUGUUCUGAUUGCCAAGACCACUGUAGCCUCUGGCGAGGAGUUAACAUAUGAUUAUUUGUUUGAUCCAGAUGAGGCAGAUGAAUUCAAAGUGCCAUGUCUAUGCAAAUCUAGCAACUGCAGAAAAUUCAUGAAUUAGAGAAAGUUGUAUGUAGCUGCUCUUACACAGAAGAAGAAGAAAGCAGGGCAAUGUUUGUCCUCAAUUACAACUAACCCAGGAAGCUUGAAUAGGAAACGUAUGGAGCUUAAAGCUGAUGUAACCUCUGAAUAAGACACUUCUAAGCUCCAAGGCAUUUGUUUUGUAGGUAUAGAGAGACUAGAGAGAAGUUCGUAGCGAAGUCCUUAUUUUAUGUAUAGCUAAAUUCCAAACUUUUUCCUUUUUUAGGGUUUCAAUAACUCAAAAGCUCAAAAAGCAAAAAAAUGAAAAACACUGCAAAGCAUUUUUUGUUUCUCUAAUGUGAUUUCUUUUAUUAUUUCUUUCGGCACGAAAUGGGUAAAGAUGGCACAAAACAAAAGGAACAUGAGAAGAAAAUAGAGAUAUGAAUUUUGAAAAGAAAAAAAAAUUGCAUUGGAAGUAAAAG